CUGGGCGUAAGCGGUGCGCUAGGCGGGUUCGUGUCAAGAUCUGAGAGUGAAAGCCCGUGGCUCAACCUGUGGAAUGUGCUUUGGAGACUGCUUGACUUGAGUGCGUGGAGAGGCGGGGGGAAUUCCACGUGUAGCGGUGAAAUGCGUAGAGAUGUGGAGGAAUACCGGUGGCGAAGGCGCCUUGCUGGACAGUGACUGACGCUGAGGCACGAAAGCGUGGGGAGCAAACAGGAUUAGAUACCCUGGUAGUCCACGCCGUAAACGAUGAGUGCUAGGUGUUGGGGGGACUCACCCCAGUGCCGAAGGAAACCCAGUGAGCACUCCGCCUGGGGAGGACCGGCCCCAGACUGAAACUCCAAAGAAUUGACGGG
rnacentral:rRNA from 1 species